GUUGGAUUAAAGGAUGGAUAUAGCUAAUGAAGAUAACUCCUCGAAAGUGGCUGAGAUGGAAUUUUGUACCAACAUUGCCCUUUUGAGGAGAGAGGGCCAAGCAUGAAGGCAAGAAGACCACUGUCAUCUUUCAAGGGCUCAACUCCUUGUUCUUCCUACUCCCUUUUCUUAGCGUUUAUUUGAGAUUUUUCAAGCCUGUAAAAGAAGUACUUGUUUUAAAACAAUGUUGGAAAUGAGGAAAAUGAGCAAUAUCAACAUUUUAUCCUGAGGGACAGGGAGUAGAAAACAAGCCAGAGGCUGCUAGUUACAUAGUUCAGUCUUAGGGAUGAAGGG
rnacentral:lncRNA from 1 species